AUGGCCAUACCAUGCUGAAAACGCCGGUUCUCGUCCAAUCACCGAUGUUAAGCAUUAUCCAGCGCAGUCAGUGUUAGGAGGGUGAUCACCUAAGAACACCGUGGGCCGUU